CGGAAGGAUCAUUACAGCGAAGCGGCGCGAGCCGCCUUUCGAACCACCGCGUACCGAACCCCCCACGUUGCCUCGGCGGGCGCCGGGCGCCCCGCGCCCGCCCCGCCGAACGGCCCCCCAGCAAGACCCCUUCCGUCGAGAUGGCGUCGUCUGAACCCUCCGGGGAAAACGUUUCUGAAACGAAAAACACAACUUUCAACAAUGGAUCUCUUGGCUCCGGCAUCGAUGAAGAACGCAGCGAAACGCGAUAGCUAGUGUGAAUUGCAGAUUUCAGUGAAUCAUCGAGUCUUUGAACGCACAUUGCGCCUCUUGGUAUUCCUCGAGGCAUGCCUGUUCGAGCGUCGUUACGCCCCUCAAGCGCGAGCUUGGUGUUGGGGACCGCCCCUGAGACACGGCGGCGGCCCCGGAAUGCAUCGGCGGUGCUGGUCCCAGCCCGGAGCGCAGCAGACAUGCGGCUCCGCGGGCGGGGCCGGCGCCCGCCGGACAAACGACGAGACCCCUCCACAAGUCGACCUCGA
rnacentral:misc_RNA from 1 species